rnacentral:misc_RNA from 1 species
UCUCCGUUGGUGAACCAGCGGAGGGAUCAUUACCGAGUUUACAACUCCCAAACCCAAUGUGAACCAUACCAAACUGUUGCCUCGGCGGGGUCACGCCCCGGGUGCGUCGCAGCCCCGGAACCAGGCGCCCGCCGGGGGGACCAACCAAACUCUUUCUGUAGUCCCCUCGCGGACGUUAUUUUUACAGCUCUGAGCAAAAAUUCAAAAUGAAUCAAAACUUUCAACAACGGAUCUCUUGGUUCUG